rnacentral:lncRNA from 1 species
GACGUAACCAUAAUCUGAUGAGAUUAGGUCACCAGAAGAGUCUUAAUCAACUUGGACUCUUUUAAAUUAAUUUCAGAAUCAAAUUCUUUCAAUUUUGAUAAGCCCACAAGUUAAGAUUGAUAUUUAGCAACAUAUCAUGCUAUCUAAAAGAUUUAAAAUUUUAUAAAAAAUUAUCAAAAUACCCUUCAAUGGCAAGUUCCUAUGUAAUUCAAUCCUUCAGUCAAACAACA